GAGAGAAACAGGCGAAAUGACCGACCUCGUAAUUUUGAUAGAUCCAGAAACUUUGAGAGAAGAAGAGACAUGCAGACUAACCAAAACAGUCAGAACCCUGGAUCCAACAUGCCACCGGGGGGGCCUCCCAACAUGAGGAAUCCACCGCCUCCCAACAUGGGCGGGAUGCAGCAACCUAACAUGGGAGGUCCGCCCAACAUGGGCGGGAUGCACCAGCAGGGCGGGCCUCCCAACAUGAGGAAUCCACCCCCUCCCAACAUGGUCGGGAUGCAGCAACCUAACAUGGGAGGUCCUCCUAACAUGGGCGGGAUGCACCAGCAACCUAACAUGGGAGGUCCGCCUAACAUGGGCGGGAUGCACCAGCAGGGCAUGGGAGGUCCACCCAACAUGGGCGGGAUGCACCAGCAGGGCAUGGGAGGGCCACCCAACCCAGGCGGGAUGCACCAGCCGGGCAUGGGAGGGCCACCCAACCCAGGCGGGAUGCACCAGCCGGGCAUGGGAAGGCCAC
rnacentral:lncRNA from 1 species